rnacentral:rRNA from 1 species
UACGUAGGGUGCAAGCGUUAAUCGGAAUUACUGGGCGUAAAGCGUGCGCAGGCGGUUGUGCAAGACAGAUGUGAAAUCCCCGGGCUCAACCUGGGAAUUGCAUUUGUGACUGCACGGCUAGAGUGUGUCAGAGGGGGGUAGAAUUCCACGUGUAGCAGUGAAAUGCAUAGAGAUGUGGAGGAACACCGAUGGCGAAGGCAGCCCCCUGGGAUAACACUGACGCUCAUACACGAAAGCGUGGGGAGCAAACAGG